rnacentral:rRNA from 1 species
GACAUGCAGAGAACUUCCAGAGAUGGAUUGGUGCCUUCGGGAACGUCUGACACAGGUGCUGCAUGGCUGUCGUCAGCUCGUGCCGUGAGAUGUUGGGUUAAGUCCGUAACGAGCGCAACCCUUGUCCUUAGUUACCAGCACGUUAUGGUGGGCACUCUAAGGAGACUGCCGGUGACAAACCGGAGGAAGGUGGGGAUGACGUCAAGUCAUCAUGGCCCUUACGGCCUGGGCUACACACGUGCUACAAUGGUCGGUACAAAGGGUUGCCAAGCCGCGAGGUGAGCUAAUCCCAUAAAACCGAUCGUAGUCCGGAUCGCAGUCUGCAACUCGACUGCGUGAAGUCGGAAUCGCUAGUAAUCGUGAAUCAGAAUGUCACGGUGAAUACGUUCCCGGGCCUU